UACAGAGGUCCCGGGCGUUGUUCGGAUUCACUGGGCGUAAAGGGCGCGUAGGCGGCUCGUGAAGUCGGGUGUGAAAGCCCGGGGCUCAACCCCGGAACGGCAUCCGAUACUGGCGGGCUUGAGACCGGGAGAGGAGGGUGGAAUACCCAGUGUAGAGGUGAAAUUCGUAGAUAUUGGGUGGAACACCGGUGGCGAAAGCGGCUCUCUGGCCCGGAUCUGACGCUGAGGCGCGAAAGCGUGGGGAGCAAACAGG
rnacentral:rRNA from 1 species